CGACGCCAUAAUUCGACAAACAACAACAAUAUCAGGAAAAACAACAAACACUCCCCAUUUUAACAUAUUUCUCUUUGAAUUGACACUGUCUAUUGAAAAACUCUGGUGAAUCGUAUGUACAAGCAACCGUGGAGCCAUUUCUGCAGGAACGUGGUACAGUCCAAGAUGGAAUGGACAGGAUGAUUGCAGAUAAGGGGGAGGUGGGGAGAGGUCCAGGAUCACAGCUGCCUAUGUGGCUCAUGACCACAGUUUUCUGUCCCUGUUGAUCAAGGCUUGGGUGGAAAUGAUGAAGAACCAACCAGCCAGCUGGUCCACUGUUCACCCUAGCUGAAUUUGGUGUACGCCAACAUGUGCCAACCUGGUUGUUGAAGCCACGGAGGUAUUUUCAAGGACAAGAACCUGUGCUGGUCAUAACAUGGUCUUAUGUUGAAUUCCAUGCAGUCUCUCGACAAGGAUUUCCGAGAAACAAAUACCGCCUCCAAGGCUGAAAAAUGUAGCCAAGAUGUACACUACCACUACUCAUGGGAUUUUGCCCAGCAAGUCCACUAUCCACAUCAUGCGCAACAAGUUGGGCCGAUAUAUUUCGCCACUCCUUGGAAGUGUCAAGUGUUUGGCAUGUGUGCCGAAGGUUCAGGGAAGCAGACAUUUUAGGCUGAAUUGCCAGGGAUAGGAAGUGAUAGCUUCGUGAGCAUGGCCCACCACUUCUUUCAGCGCCAUGGUGUCGGAGAAAAACAUGCUGAGGUUCAUUUUAAUGAUGCCGUCAGGCAAAACAAGAACCACACUGUGCUUUGGUAUGCCAUGUGGCAAGUAAUGACAGGACUGCAUGAGAGUGUAACGCUCAACACUAUGUUGGCUGGGCACACCAAAUUUGCUCCUGACUGUCACUUCGGCAUCUGGAAGGUCAAGUGGCGUUGCUGUAAUGCAGAGAAUCUUCAAGAAAUUGCCCACACUGUAUCUGCCUCUUCGAAGUCUGGCCAUAACAUCCCACAGUUGGUUAAUGACCCUAAGAGUUUGUAGAUUCCUCAGAAAUUGAAGUUAAUCUUUUGAGGAUGAGCCCAGAAUUUGGUGUUUUGCCUGAACUACGGCAUGCACCGUGCCUAGAUGCUGCACGUCAAGGGUACCUUCACGAUGCUAUUCCAAGAAUAGGUGGGCUAUACUACUCGCCCCAGCGUCGGCGUCGGCAUCCGGUUACAGUUUUAGGGCAUGUUGGGAUUUUCACUUAGAAGUCAGAUACCCUACAAUCAAUUGACUUAAUACUUCACGAAGUUGUUCAGGGACAUCACAUAAUGAGGUUAGAUAGCUCCAUAUUAUUCUUUACACAGAUUAUGGCCCCUGAUUGACUAUGGAACUUAGGUUAAAGUUUUAGGGCAAGUUGGAAUAUUUAUUAAUACCGGGGUAACUUCUAUAUCCUUUGUUUAAUUGACUUAAUACUUCACACAGUUGUUCAGGACCAUCACACAAUGAGGUUACAUAACUCCAUAUUCUCCUAAAUACAAGUUAUGGCCCCUGAUUGACUUGGGUUAAAGUUUUAGGGCAGGUUAAAGUUUUAGGGCAAGUUGGGAUUUUCACUUAAAACUCCAAUACUAUUCAUUCAAUUGACUUAAUACUUCACACAGAUGUUCAGAGCCAUCACAUAAUGAGGUUAGAUAACUCCAUAUUAUCUUUUAUACAAUUAAUGGCCCCUGAUUGACUACGGAACUUAGGUUAAAGUUUUAGGGCAGGUUGGGAUAUUGUUUAAUAACUUCUAUACCCUUCAUUCAAUGGGAUUUUCACUUAGAAGUCCAAUACCCUACAAUCAAUUGACUUAAUACUUCACACAAUUGUUCAGGACCAUCACCCAAUGAGAUUACAUAACUCCAUAUCCUUAAUACAAGUUAUGGCCCCUGAUUGACUUAGGUUAAAGUUUUAGGCAAGUAAAAGUUAAGGGCAAGUUGGGAUUUUAAUAAAGAAACUUAUACACUGUUCCUUAAAUGCACUUAAUAAAAUUCAAAAUUAUUUACGACCAUCUGACAACAAGAAACAUAACUCCAUUUUAAGCCUAAAUACAAAUUAUGGCCCUUGAAUUUUUUUAUUUUUUUUUAAAUUUCCUUUGAAAGGCAUAUUUGUAUAUUCUUAACCACAUUUUCAUAAUGGGAAAUCAAGUUAUUGAAUGACUUGCGUCAUUGUUGGGCGGGCUGGUGGGAGGGCAGCAUCAAAGUCACCUUAUGUAUUGAAUAAUUUUAGUUAGGUUUGACAUAAAGAGACCAAACUUGGUAUUAUUACAUCAUUAUUGUAUUUUCAGUCAAAGCGGCGUAGUCGCGCCCGUUGUCUUACAACGGCUCUUGUUUAGAUCUGCGUUAUCAAGAUCUGCCGUAUGCCCUAAACCAACACUGUGUACAGUCAAAGUUGAUAUUGCCAAAAAUGCCAACACCGAAAGGCUGUAAAUGCAAAUAUAGCAUUCUGUGUUAAUUUAAUGUGGACUGGUUUAAUGUAGUGCUGCAUAAACCUGUCUUUUGUCAACUUCAUGAUAACCAGUCUGAAAGUAUACUUAUGUCAUAAAUGGCAUUGCAGCAAAAAAUGAGGUCAUUAUAAGUUAGUGUAAUAAAUUUUAACAUGACAUUAUAAUAAUGAAUGGUGUUGAAAAUGUGGACACUUUCUAGUAAUGUUUAAUGUGUUUACCACUGUUAAUACUCCCAUUAGUCCCGUUUAUAUUAGUUGGAAAGAAAAAACUUGUUAAAGAAACUUUGUAUUGAACAAAAAAAAUUGUAUUGAACAACUUGUGAAAUACCCUCUUCUUCUAAAGACUAACAAAAUUAAGAUCUAUGUAUCUCUGCCAUCUGAAACAUGAGAAAGGAUAUUUGCUUUUUUGUGUAUUACUAAUAUCAUUGAUUGGUUGCAUUGUAUUGUGCAAGUGUUGUUUUUUUUAUUACAAAAUCAUUGCAAAGUACUACUCUGUUUUUUGUGCAAAUGAAAGAAACCGUGCAGAUUUUUUCUUGCUAGGCAUUUAGCUUUACCAAAAUGUUACUUGACAAUUUAAGAAGAUGCAUUUUUUUAUAAUUAUUACUUUAUAUAAUAAGUUGAAAAUGACAUCUUGAUGAAUUAACUAUUUUCAUUUACACCUUUGUUGGUGAAUUGUUGUUUGUAGAACAUAUGUUUGUGGCAAAUUUGAAAAGAAACGAGUAGAAAUUGCAUAAUCACAUGUAACCAUAGCAACAGAAUGUUGUUUCCGACUUUUACUUUGACCUUUGUGGUCAAUUUCUAUGUCCUUAUGGACAUUAGCAAUGUGUACUUGCUAAUUUCUUUUUGUAAUUAUGUAAAAGUUGUAAAGAUAUGUUAGAUAUUUAAAUAUUUAUACAUGGAUAUUGCAUUCAAAACAAGAUGUUUUCUUCAAAUUGUGUUUUUAAUAGCCCUGUGUUACAAAAUGUUUCAUAUUUUUUAAUCUUUUGUGAAAUUUGACAUGAAACUUUAGGUUUUAUUUCUGAAAAUAGUUGGUAUCAUGAAAAUGUCAAUUACUUUAUAAAACAAUUUUAUUAAGAUCAUUCUUUUUUAAGCAGACUUUCAAAAAUGAUUGGACGUAGCAUUUUCAUAAGUUACCAUAGCAACCGAAUUUUGCUUUGACCUUUGUUGUCAAUUUCUGUGUCAUUAUGGACAUUAGCAAAGCAUACUUGUUAUUUUCUUUUUGUAGUUUAUGUGAUGUUAGUAAAUAUAACAGGGUUAUUAGUACUGUGUUUUGAUCCGGAGGGUUGUAUUCGACUCGAGUGGAUUUUUGCGGAUUCGGAUUUCAUGAGGCGCAAGCCAAGUGAAAUCAAAAUCUGCAAAAAUCCACGAGAGUCGAAUACGACAUUCCGGAUCAAAACAGUACUUAUAGCCCUUUUAUUAUAUACAAUACUGGUAAGAUUACUUAACAGCCAAAUGUUUUCAUAACGACGCUCUAACGUAACGGCCAAAUGUUUUCAUAACGUCAUUUUAGCAUUGCGCAAGGAUACUUGUUAUGACGUGACUUCACAAGAGUUGAAUACGGACUACCGUAUUUUGCGAUUUGUAUUGCGUGUGGAUUUAUGAUGGGUAUAUAAUAAAGUUUUAUAUUUUAAUAAGAACAGAUUUAGUGAGCAUUUAGUUCAAAUUGUGUUUUUGCCCUCUGCUACAAAAUGUCCAUAUCCUUUGGGGGGGGGGGGGGUUAAGAAUUUGACUUGCAACUUCAUAUUUUAUUUCUGCAGUUGCUUGGUAUCAUAAAAAUGUCAAUAACUUAAAACACAACUUUAUGAAUAACAUUAUUUUGUUAGAAACAUGCAGGAAAUGAGUGAAAAUGGCAUUAUCAAUAGUUACCAUAGCAACCAAAUGCAGUUAUGAAUGAUGAAUGCUUAUUGUUUAUAUCAUAAAACGUAUAAAUAACUCUUGACAUGAUACUUAUCUGACAUGGAUAUUUCAUUCUAAAUAAACACA